GACAGAGGGUGCAAACGUUGUUCGGAAUUACUGGGCAUAAAGCGCACGUAGGUGGUCCACUAAGUCGAGUGUGAAAUCCCCCGGCUCAACCGGGGAAUUGCGCUCGAUACUGGUGGGCUAGAGGUCGGUAGGGGUGAGCGGAACUCCAGGUGGAGCGGUGAAAUGCGUAGAUAUCUGGAGGAACACCGGUGGCGAAAGCGGCUCACUGGAUCGAAUCUGACACUGAGGUGCGAAAGCUAGGGUAGCAAACGGG
rnacentral:rRNA from 1 species